rnacentral:tRNA from 1 species
GCCGGUGUGAUGGAAUUGGUAGACGUGCUGGACUCAAAAUCCUGUGGUAGUGAUACCGUAUCGGUUCGACCCCGAUCACCGGCACCA